CGAAAGGGUGACUAUGCGACGCCGCGUGUGCGAUGAAGGUCUUCGGAUCGUAAAGCACUGUCAGCCGGAAGGAAUCUCUGGAGGCUUAAUAAGCUUGCAGGGUGACAGUACCGGCAGAGGAAGCCACGGCUAACUCCGUGCCAGCGGCCGCGGUGAUACAUAGGCUUCAAGCGUUGUCCGGAUUUAUUGGGCGUAAAGAGUUCGUAGGCGGUCGAGUAAGUCGGGUGUGAAAAUUCUGGGCUCAACCCAGAGACGCCACCUGAUACUGCUUAACUUGAGUUCGAUAGGGGAGUGGGGAAUUCCUAGUGUAGCGGUGAAAUGCGCAGAUAUUAGGAGGAACACCGGUGGCGAAGGCGCCACUCUGGAUCGACACUGACGCUGAGGAACGAAAGCAUGGGUAGCAAACAGGAUUAGAUACCCUGGUAGUCCAUGCGGU
rnacentral:rRNA from 1 species